AUUGAACGCUGGCGGCAGGCCUAACACAUGCAAGUCGAGCGAGCGGCGGACGGGUGUGUAAUGUCUGGGAAACUGCCUGAUGGAGGGGGAUAACUACUGGAAAAGGUAGCUAAUACCGCAUACCAUCAGAUGUGCCCAGAUGGGAUUAGCUAGGAGGUGGGGUAAUGGCGCACAUAGGCGACGAUCCCUAGCUGGGCUGAGAGGAUGAACAGCAAGACGGGAACGGAGACACGGUCCAGACGCCUACAGGAGGAAGAAGUGGGGAAUAUUGCACAAUGGGCGUAAGCCUGAUGCAGCCAUGCGGCGUGUGUGAAGAAGGCAUGCGGGUUGUAAAGCACUUUCAGCGUGGAGGCGUUAACCGCAGAAGAAGCACCGGCUAACUCCGUGCCAGCAGCCGCGGUAAUUC
rnacentral:rRNA from 1 species